AACAAAGGAAGGAGAUGGAGUAGGGAUGAGAGAAGAGAAAGUACAUCAGAUGCUGAGAUGAUUGUCCAGGGUCUGAGGGAGGGGCUGGAAUCGGGGCCUGGGUCGGAUCCACAGGCCGCCGUGUGACCUCGGACAAGUUCCUUCCCCGCCCAGACCCCGUCUCCGCAUCUCCAGCGAGAGGCACGUGCCAGGGCUGCGGUCCGGCAGCGGCUCCAGGGCCAGCCCAGGAGGCUGGGAGCCGGUGGGGAGGAGGCGCGGGCUGUGCAGGAACUGAGGUGCUUGCCUAGGAAAGUGCACGGUUUUGCCAUGGCGUCUGCCACGGCCCACGAAACGGGAGGAUUCCUCAGCCCACGGCCGCGGCUGCAAGCGCGUUUGAGAGCAUUUGAUUUCUGUGUUGACUUUGGUGCUGGGCCUGACGUCCAGCAGCAUGAGACGAGCUGCUUCCAAGGCCAGGAGAUUACGUGUGUGUGUGUGUGUGUGUGUGUGUGUGUUCACACUCACAUGGGUAACACGCCCUCUCAAGGCUUCAUGGCACGCUGCCCGGAGUCCUCGUUGUCCCAGGGGAGUGGGUUCUGGUCCUGACUGGGGAGACCCUCUGAGAGCAGUGCCUUUGGUCAUGCCGUGACCUGGGGUGGCCCAGCCAGGCCUCUGCCAUCUCCCGUGGGGCCAGCCUUCAGGACUUAGAGAAUCCAAGCCUAGGAUGGUGCUGAGGAUGAAGAGACCUGGGAGAGGGAAUCCAAGGUGGGGGUCCCAGUUGCCCCCCAGCUCUGAGCUCCUCUUCCUCAUCUGAGAAAUGGGCCUCAGUUUCCUCAUCUGUGAAAUGGGCCUAGCGAUGCCAGGGACUGCCUCGCAGAGCUGCUGUCAAGAUGAAGGCAGCAAGAUGAGCUUCUCUGACCUCACCCUCCUGGGUCUUCCAUCCCUGCCCGACCACCGCCCUGUCCUGCUUGUGGUAAUGUCUCCCCACCGCUAGCUGUGAGCUGUGAAAAGCUGAAGGACAACCCAAGGAAGCCGUCCCAGACGUCAGAGGCCCCUGGAGGCAUUUUGGUUUGUCUCCACGUGGCCACCUGUGGGAAUGAAGCCAGGAUCGCUUUUUGGGGUGCGCUGGCUCUAGCUUUUUGGGGUGCGCUGGCUCUAGCUUUUCUCAAAGGACAGAGAUGCAACCCGGAGCCUCAGCUGAGUGGCGACCAUUGCUACAUGGGCCCCAAGCGCUGUGUCCUCUUCUUCUGGCCUCUCCUUCCGCGUCCAAGGAACCCCAGGACUUGCUUUGAGGAGCAGCCCCCUCCGUGGCGCUCACUGCAGAACAGCAGCCACACCCAUAAAUAACUGCACGAAUAAUCCCGAUUCACGCUCCUACGAUCCGGCACUUACUGAGAGCUCUGCAGCCGACAAAUGCCAAGGGCUCGAUCGAAUCAGCUUCAUCAGACUCAGGCGCGGGGCGUGUUAUUCCAAGUUCACAGAAUCUCAGAUGGCAGCCUGGAGCUCUGCCCUUCGCAGACAUCUGAGAUCGAAAUCCCACAAGAACCUUCACGAGGGUAAGUGGACGUGCGGGGUUGAAGAUGGCUGCACAUUCUCUGCCCAUCCUGCCAUCGAGGGGCGGGGUCGGUGCGCCUCCUUUCGGAUCUGGGCUUGCUGGUAACUUGCUUUGACCGGUAAAAAGCGAUGAAAGGAAUGUUCUGGAACUUGGGAAGCUAGGUCAGAUGAUGCCCUGCGGCUUCCACCUGCAACUGGUGGGACCCUUGCUCGCAGAGCGCUGAGCCGCCAUGUUGUGAGGAGGCCCAAGCCACCCGAAGAGGCCCUGGAGCACGGGAUGCCUGUGGAGGCAGAGGGGAGUCAAGGGGCCGCACCUGUGAGCAAAGAGGCCGUUUGGAAGUGGAUCUCAGCUGCCGCCUCACCGGCUGGCAAUGAGCUCUCUCCUGCUGAGCCCUGAGUUCCUGACCCAUAAUGCUGUGGGCAAGAUAAAGCGGUGGCUUAAACCACGUGCCUUCCAGGGAGCUGAUGAGCUGAUCACACAGCCAAAGGUAACUGGAACGAUAAUCAGAAGACCCAGAUCAGCCAAAGGGAAGAGAUUCAUCGUUGUCAGCACCCUCGGCAGGCAGUAGCGCCUACUCCCGGGUGUCCUCCCUCCAGCUCUGCCCGUGGCGAUAGGACAUGAUCCAUUUAAAUACGGAGUCGCCGUAGAGGUGCGUCAGGAUCGAAAGGGAGGCCAGCUCUCAAAACACAAUCCUCAUCCCAGAAGGUGACCCUCAUGAGGGCGGAGCUUGUCUGUCUGUGUCCCAUGUCCGGGAUGCCAGCUGGAUCAGGGGCUGUGCCCAAGAAGUAGUGGACGAAUUGAUGAGAGAGUGGAAGCUCAGAGAGGGUGAGGGACUUGCCCAAGGCUACACAGCAAGUCAGCAAGAGGUAGGAACCAUGACCAGAUGUGAAGGCCAGUACUUUGUAUUCACCUCGAUUGCUCCCUAAAGAGCGUUUCGUCCUCCUUGCAUCACCCGGGCCUGGCACAGAGGCGGUGCUUGUGGAGCGUCACAGUGCACAGCAACACAUUGACAUGCCAAAGGCCCUGACAAGUCCUGAAGAAAAACAAGUAACUUCCGUUUUGUUGAAAAUGCUGCUUUUCUUAAAUGCGUUGGACCACAGAACGUGUUGGUGACUGUAAAACUUACCAUGCCCUUGGGCACCAGAAGAUAAGUCCAUUUAUCAUCUUAAAAUCCAUCAAGAGUAAACUAGAUUAAAAAAACAAACAGACAUGUGGAUAUGUUCACACUAUGGAAUAUUAUACAACAGUGAAAAAUAAUAAGCGAUAGCUCCUCACAGCAACAUGGAUUAAUCUCACCGUUCGAUGUUGACGGGAUGAAGCCAGACAAAAUAAUAAUGACACGAUGGCUAUUCUUACUGUUAUUAUUUCACGUAUAUAAAAUCAGAAAGAAGCAAAAUGAAUCAUGCUGUUCUCAGGCCUAAAAAAUACCCAAGAAUAGGAUGAUCACCAAAAUCAGGAGAGGAAUGAAAUCUCGGGGAGGGAGGGGGAGGGGGCUGGAGGAGGGGCGCCUCUGGGUUCUGUUUCUUGUCGGAUGGUUACAUAGGUAUUUGCUGGAUGAUGAAUCAUUAAAUUGUGUAAAACUA